rnacentral:misc_RNA from 1 species
UGGCUCUCGCAUCGAUGAAGAACGCAGCGAAAUGCGAUAAGUAAUGUGAAUUGCAGAAUUCAGUGAAUCAUCGAAUCUUUGAACGCAACUUGCGCCCCUUGGUAUUCCGAGGGGCACACCUGUUUGAGUGUCGUGAAUUCCUCCACCCUCUAGGUUUUUUGUGACCUUUUGGGCUGGGAUUUUGGGGGUUCUUUGUGGGUCCUCUCGAGGUCCGCUCCCCUUGAAUGCAUCAGUAAAGUGCUCACGCGGCCUUGGUGUGAUAGCUAUCUACGCCAUGGUCCGUUUCCGCCCUGGCGGGCCUUUGCUUCUAACCGUCUUCGGACAGCCUUAUUCGAACUUGACCUCAGAUCAGGUGGGACUACCCGCUGA